GAUGAAGAACGUAGCGAAAUGCGAUAAGUAAUGCGAAUUGCAGAAUUCCAGUGAGUCAUCGAAUCUUUGAACGCACAUUGCGCCCUUUGGUAUUCCGAAGGGCAUGCCUGUUCGAGCGUCAUUAUCACCCCUCAAGCCCUCGGCUUGGUGUUGGACGGUUUGGUGGAGGCCCCCUCGGGGGUUCCUGCCCCUCCCAAAGACAAUGACGGCGGCCUCGUUGGACCCCCGGUACACUGAGUUCUUCACGGGACACGUAUCGGACCCAUGGGUUUACGGGACACGGUCUGCCUCCCCUCAGGGAGAAUCUUUCUAAGGUUGACCUCGGAUCAGGUAGGGAUACCCGCUGAACUUAAGCAUAUCAAUAAGCGGAGGA
rnacentral:misc_RNA from 1 species